GGUGAGGUGGCCGAGCGGUUGAAGGCGCACGCCUGGAAAGCGUGUGUACGUUAAUAGCGUACCGAGGGUUCGAAUCCCUCUCUCACCGCCA
rnacentral:tRNA from 2 species